rnacentral:rRNA from 1 species
AAACUGAAGAGUUUGAUCCUGGCUCAGAUUGAACGCUGGCGGUAUGCUUAACACAUGCAAGUCGAACGGCAGCACGAGGAGAGUUUACUCUCUUCGGUGGCGAGUGGCGGACGGGUGAGUAAUGCAUAGGAAUCUACCUUUUAGUCUAGGAUAACUACCCGAAAGGGUGGCUAAUACUGGAUGUGGACUACGGUUUAAAGCAGGGGAUCUUCGGACCUUGCGCUAAGAGAUGAGCCUAUGUGGGAUUAGCUAGUUGGUGAGGUAACGGCUCACCAAGGCGACGAUCUCU